UUUUUCCUUAUAAUUUAGGGCGGCAUACAUAUAUUUAAACAAAAAAUAUAAAAAAGAAAAGCAAAGCAAAUCAACCUACAGCGUGGAAGUUACAGGGGCACUUUUUUAUUCUAAACAGUUAACUUACCUUGCACACUCAAAAUUCUCAAAAACCUAGCUACUGAAGAUCGAUUCAUGGUUAAUUGGUGAUUUCUUUGGCGGAAACUCAAAAUCCAUUGUAGAUCGAGGGGUAAGAACUCUAAUUUCUUUCUUUUUGGUCUUUAUAAUUGAUGAUUUUUUCUAGGCUCCAAUUUGUUGUAGGCCUUUUGAAUUCGUUCGUUGUUUGAUGUGACCUUGAUUUUUCUUUGUUAUUUCUACCUACAAUUCAUGUGUUAUUUUGACUACAAUUGCAACAAUAUCUCUCUAUUAUUAUUAUUUUUGUGGGAUUUUCUCUUAUUUAAUUGGGGCUUUCCUUCUGUUCGGGGUUUCGUCAUGAUUUUCUGGGUUUUGUUAGGAAUUUCAAGAUUUUCUGGGUUUUGUUAGGAACUUGCGUAUAUCUUCAUCAUCCUACUUAGAUAAAAGCAAAAAUAAUCUCUUGAUAUUUAUUUUCUGUCUAAGAUCAGAAUUUCCUUCGAUUAAAAUUUGAAACUUUGGUGCUAUGUUAAUUAUAAUAGUGAAUUGAUGAUUGUGACCCACUAGUGAUGUAAUAUCGUUUUAAUAUUUACACAUGCAACUUCAAAUAUGAAUUAUUAGGUAUUAAUUAUAACUUCUAUGUUAUUAGUGAUGUACUGUGUGAAGUGUAAUAGUGAAUAGAUGAUUGUUAACUACUAGUGUUGUCAUAUAUGCAACGCUUGAAUAACCCUGGUUUUUAAUCCUUUCAAUUGAUUAUAUUUCUAGCUGUUAUAUAUAUUAGCUUAAUCUUUACACAUAGAAUUUUAAAUAUGGAUUAUUAGGUAUUAAUUACAUAACUCCGUAGAUUAUUAGGUUCCGUGAUUGAGUUGUCAUAUGCAAUUGUUUAUCUAACUUUGUUUAUUUAAUCCUCUAAAUUGAUUAUAUUUCUGAAACCUCUUUACUUUUUAAUUUGUGUAUGUAUGGUGUACAUCUUAUUUUAUAUUUCAUGGGUAUUAGCAAAGGAUAGUUACGACUUCCUUUUAAAUGGAAUUUUCUAAUAUACACAAAUCAACUCGUUGUCUUAGCUUAGUUUAUUCCCUAAACUACGUAAAAGGUCUGCUCCUAUAAUUUUUCUAUAUGAUAAAAGCAUAGCCUUCUUGGUCCUACACUAUUUAGUUAAAAGAGACUUAAGUGUCUUCCUUGGAUAUAAGUGACUUCUUUGGAUUAUCAUAUUUAAAAAUUGUUUUUCUUUAAGGUGAAAUAUGACUGCAUAUAUACUAAUUGACACAAAGAAUAUAAAAGACAAAAAAAGGCUAUGUCAUAGUAUUACAAAUUUGAGUUAAGGAUGUUCCUAAAUUAUAAUUCUUAGACUAUUAUUGUAUAUCACCAUAGUCGUAAGUCUUAACAUAGUAUAUACCUUAAUAAUUUAUCCAGAUUUAGUUAAUAGUGAUUCUUAUUUUGGAAAUAACAUCUUAUAUCUUUUUACCACUCUAAGAGCUUAGAGUAUCCAUGAGAUAUAUAUUCAUGUUGCUUCUAUAUGACCUUGUUAGGUUAUAAAUCAAAGUUAGAUGCCUUUUAUUGUGGCUUCGAGUCUUAUCGGAUAAACAUGCUGCUGCAUUUUUUCAAACUUCAUUAUAAAAUUUUCCUUAGGUGGUUUUUUUAAUUUAUACAUGUUCAAUAUAUAGUAUAUGGAUUUUUCAUGAAAUACCACUGAGUUUUUCCAAAAUUCACCAUAUACCACACAAAAAUUUUUAAUUCACCAUAUACCACUGAGUUUAACAUAAAUGUCACAACAUGCCAUUUCCGUUAACUCAGUUAGUCAUUAACGUCAAUUGUGCCACGUGGCAGCUUGUAAUUGGUUUCCUUUUAAAUUAUUUAACUUUAAAAUAAUUGCUUAAUUAAUUAUCAAAAAAUAAAAAUAAAAAAAUAAUUGAAAAACUAAAUAAUUAAUUGAAAAACUUUUACAAAAAUAAUUGAAAAAAAAAUUAAACCCACCACCAACUGCCAGCCAUCUCCUCGCCCCCAACCAGCACCCAGCCAGCCCCCCGCCCCCCGCUCCCAGCCUUGAACCACCACCGCGCCGGCGCCGCCCCUCACCCAGCCUUGCGCCGGUGCCCCCAUCCCUCCCUUGAACCACCAAACCCAACCCAAAUUCUCCCUCCUAUGUUCCCAAAACGUCUCCCCCUGCAACCCUUCCACCUAAGCCGAAACCCACCAUGCCGAAAUCCAACGCCGGCGACCCAGAUCCCUCUCCCUCACGUCACCGCCGCCCAAUUUAGUUGCAAACAACCAACCCAAAAUCUCCCAGCCCCAGCCCGUGUACGACCACCCUCUUCAUCGCCGGACUGGAACGGCCCGCCACCCCUUUAUCACCACCAUCACAACCCCCUGCCGCCGCCCCUUACCACCAUCACAACAAAGUCUCACCUUCCUCCGCAAUUGCUGCCACCACAACCCACCACCACCAAGCGAACCCACACACACCAAAUCGCCACCAAUCGCACCAAAUCGGCGCCACCGCACCAAAUAGCCGGAGUUUAGGAGGUGGCGGGUUUCGCGGUGCCGGAGUUAUCAAUUUUAAAGGUUGGGGUUUCUGGGUUAGGGAUCGGGUUGUGGGUUUCUACAGGUUCUGGGUUGGGGUUUUACCAGUUAUUUGGGGUUUUCUGGUUAGGGAUUGAAGAAGAGGGAAGGUGGCUGGAGAAGGAUAAGAAGGGGGAGGGGUGGUCGGGAAAUCGAUUUAAGGGACGGGAAUGGGAUGGGAGGUCGAAAAAGGUUGGGGACAGGGGAGUGGAAGAGGGAGGAGGGCGAGCUGCUGGGAAAGGGAGGGAAGGGGGAGGAGGGGGGGCUGCCGGAAAAAUGGAGGGAAGGAGGAGGAGGGAGCUGCCGGAAAAAGAGAGGGAAGGGGAGGAUGGAGGUGGAGGGGAAGAGGCAGCCAUUGAUGAAGGUGAAGGGGAAAAAAUAAAAAAUAAAAAAAAAUUUAUUAAUUAAAUUUUUUUUUAUUAAUUAAGAGUUAAUUAGAUUAUCAAACGGAUUUAUUGAAAGCCACUAAGUGAAAGCCACGUGGCACAAUUAACCUUAAUCACUAACGGCGUUAACGGCAGACUAACGGCAGUUAGAAAAAAUGGCAUUCUGUGUUAAUGUACAUAAACUCAGUGCUAUAUGGUGAAUUAAAAAUUUUUGUGUGGUAUAUGGUGAAUUUUGGAAAAACUCAGUGGUAUCUCAUGAAAAAUCCGUAUAGUAUAUAUACCAAAAGUUUAUACUUCAAUGCUUGCUUUUUUUAUUUUUUAUUAUUUUUAUUUUUUAAAUUUGUUUGUAAGGAUAAUCUUAUUUGAAAAGCAUGGAUAUCGAUACAAGUUGGAUUGAACUACCCAACAACCAUCCAACUUAUCGUAGUGGAACUGUCAAAUUCAUUAAGUUGGCUAAAGAAGGGCUUGUAGAUGGAAAAGCUCUCUGAUGGUAAGAAAUGUAGGAUGGAAAAGUGGCUGACAAUACCAGAAAUAGAGGAGCAUAUUUUGUUUAAAGGUUUUGACAAGCAAUACAAGAAAUGGAUUUUUCACGGCAGAGGACCAGUCCUUGAGCGCAUGUUUAGUGAUCAACACGGUUCAAUUGGGGAUGUUGCUGGAACCACUAGUCAAGGGGCUCAACAUGGGGUUAUAGGUCGAGAUGAUAUGAGAGGCUUAUUAGGAGAUGCUUUCGGUGUUAAUAUGUCCAAUGUGAAUGAGCCUGAACCUGUAGAUCCACACCAUGCUGGAUCAAGUGAUCAAAGUGAGCCUAACUUUUUUGACCAUUCCUCAAUUGAAGAGCCCACUCCAUCCCCAACGCAAGUGAUGAAUGAAAAAGAAAAGGCUAACUUUGAGAGACUAUUAGAAGCUUCAAAUAAUGAAUUAUAUGCUGGAUGUAAGACGUUCUCUAAACUUUCAUUUCUUGUGCGAAUGUUUCACAUAAAGUGUAUGCAUCAUUUAUCUGCCGAGUCCUAUACAAUGAUUCUUGAACUUCUAAUUGAAGCAUUUCCUCAAAUUAUGGAGUUCCCAUCAUCAUAUUAUGAAUCCAAGAAAAUGAUUAAUACCUUGGGUCUUGGGUAUGAAAAAAUUGAUGCUUGCCCGAAUAAUUGCAUUCUCUAUCGAGGUGAACAUUCGGACAAGGAUGAAUGUGAUGUAUGCCAUGCUUCGAGAUGGAAGACAACUAAGUCUAAAGAAGGUAGUACAAGUGGGGAAGAUAAAGAUGUAAAAAAAGAUGAACCUGCGAAGGUACUUCGAUAUUUCCCUUUGAUCCCAAGGUUUAAAAGACUUUUAUUUGUCUUCUAAGAUAGCGAAAGAUAUGAUAUGACAUGAGAAGGAUCGCGAUAAACAGGAAGGUAUAUUGAGGCAUCCUGCAGAUGCUUCAGCCUGAAAAGAUUUGAUGAUAAAUAUUGUGAUUUUUCUUCUGAUCCUCGAAGUGUGAGAGUAGGGCUUGCUAGUGAUGGUUUUAAUCCUUAUCGCUUAAUGAAUACCACGCAUAGUACAUGGCCAGUGGUGUUAAUGAUUUAUAAUCUCCCACCAUGGUUAUGUAUGAAACAUUCUUCAUUUAUUCUUUCCUCUUUAAUUCCAGGAAAAUCAAGUCCUGGAAUUGACAUUGAUAUCUAUUUGCAACCUUUAGUGGAUGAGUUGAAGUUAUUAUGGGAGGGAGUAGAUGCAUUUGAUGCUUACAAAAAACAAUAUUUUAAACUGCGUGCUGCUUUAAUGUGGACAAUCAACGAUUUUCCAGCUUAUGCAAUGUUAUUAGGGUGGAGUACGAAAGGCUAUCAUGCAUACCCUUCUUGUGCCCAUGAAAAUCGUGCUGAAAAGUUGGCAGGUAAAAUGUGUUACAAAGGGUUUCGAAAGUGGCUGCCCAUUGAUCACCCUUAUCGAUCUCAAGCCCAUUUGUUUGAUGGGAAAGAAGAGUAUGGUCUUGCUCCAAGCCGUUAAUCAGGGACUGAUGUUCAAAAUCAACAAGAAGGGGUUGCAUAUACAUAUGGAAAAGGGAAAAAAACCUUCUAAAAAAAAGAGAGCAAGACAAGAUGAUGAUGAUGAUGACGAAGAAAAUGAUGAUAUUAAUGUUUUGUGGACCAAAAAGAGCAAAUUUUUUGAUUUACCUUAUUGGGAGCAUAAUCCUCUUCGUCAUAAUUUAGAUGUUAUGCACAUCGAAAAAAAUGUGUGUGACAAUUUCUUAGUCACCUUACUAAAUGUAGAUAAGAAAUCCAGGGAUAAUGAAAAAGUUAGAAAGGCAAUGAAAGAAGAAGGAAUAAAGCCACAUCUUUGGAUUAAGACUAGUCCAAACGGGCAAUCAAUUAUGCCUCUUGCUUCUUAUUCUAUGUCAAAAGAGGAUAAACUACGAUUCUUAAGGGUGUUCCAAAAAUUAAGAGUUCCGGAUGGAUAUUGAUCUAAUCUCUUAAGAUGCGUGAAUAUGAAACAAAAAAAACUUCAGAAUCUAAAGAGUCAUGACAACCAUGUCACUAUGAAAGAUCUUUUGCCUGUAGCUCUAUAAGCUUUAAGAGCUACAGAAAUUGUGGAUUUGGUGUCAGAGUUGUCAUCCUUUUUCAAAAUCGUGUGCUCUACCACCCUUGAUGUGAAAGUGUUGGAUGAGAUACAAACCAAAAUUGUUUUAACUUUUGUAAGAUAGAGAUAGAGUUUGUACCAACAUUUUUUACAGUCAUGGUUCAUUUAGUCAUUCAUUUAGUGGAGGAGGCCAAACUUGGUGGACCAGUCCAUUAUAGGUGGAUGUAUCCUAUUGAAAGGUACUUGGCCCAUUUGAAAUCAUGUGUGACUAACAAAGCUCAACCAGAAAGGUCAAUUACAGAAGGAUACCAUUUAGAAGAGAUGAUUAACUUUUGUUCAAGAUACUUAGAAGAAAUUGAGACCUUAUUUUAUAGGCUGAAGAGAAAUGACGAUCUUAUUCUGGAUACAAGUGCUUAUUUAUUUAAUUCUGGUGGUCGAUUCAUUGGGGCGAAGAAAAUUGCUCGUUUAGAUGCUAAAAGUCUAGAGCAAGCACAUCACUACGUUUUACUUCAUUUUGAUGAGAUGGCUGAAUUUCGUGAUGAGUUCUUACACCAGAAGCGACGUGAGAAUCGAUUUAGAGAAGUACGAGGUGACACAAUAGUAGAGUAUGAUUGGAUCAUUAAAGAUUCUCUAAUUGGCUUAGAGCCCAGGUACAUAAUAUAGAUAGCAAUAGUGAGCAAGGGAAGCUAAGGAAAGCUUUGGCAAGUGGUUUAUAUGAUCGUACUACAGAGUAUAAAGGCUUUGUAAUCAAUGGCUACAAGUUUCUGACUGUAGACCGUGAACGCUAUCGCAGGACACAAAAUUCAGGAGUUAUGGUUGAGGCAGAUGGCCAGUUUUACUAUGGAAAAGUCAGGAAAAUAUAUGAAUUAAGUUAUUAUGGGACAUAAGGUUGUGUUGUUUCGGUGUGAUUGGGCAGACAUUAGUAAGGGAUUAAAGACAUAUGAGAAUGGGGGUAUUUCUGUCAACUUUUCAAAGUUGAUGCAUAGUGGACGAUUAAUGAAAGAUGAUCCUUUUAUUUUUUUCAUCUCAAGCGAAACAGGGAUUAAAGAAAUACGAGCAUCAGAGUCUAUCUAUUCCAAUGCAUCUCAAAUGAAUUUUGGUGAAAACUCCUCUAAUAACGAUGGGAAUGAAGCGUGUAGAAUUGGAGGUUCAAGGAGGAACGACAAAAGAAAGAAGCGCUCCAUUACAAUAAAUGGAAACUCUUCUACUGACGAAGCCCAAGAUUGGAGAGAUGAUGUUAACUUUGAUGAAAGAGAGGAUGUUCGUGCCAUUGAUUCUGAAGGAAAUGUGCAGUUAUGGAGUGGUUCUAUACAGCCACAUGAUGUGUGGCUUCUUGAAAAAGAAGUCAGAUUUGAAGUUACAUUCAACAGAUUUUGCCAACCAAUUAGAAAGGGCGGAUCAAUACUUGUGAAAUUCAUUUCAAUUAUAGCAAAUAAAGAUGAUAUUUUUCCUAUAAGAGAUGUAAAUUAACGAAAUGUGAAUGCAACAAUACUAGGUGAUAUUGUUAAUUUGAUUCGUGAAAAAUUCAUCAUUCGGGAUGGUAAAAUCUAUGAUGAUGCAAUGCUUAAGCACGUGGGUAAGCAUCGUAGGCAGUGGAAGUUUGAGCUCAAAGCUAAAUAUUUCAAUCCCACUGUACGAACCAGAACACAAAUUGAAAAUGACAGGCCUGGAGAAAUUGUUCGUGAGAAUUGGCUUCCAUUGGUCGAAUUAUUGGUUUUCAAAGAAGAGCAAGAAUUAUUCUGAAAUUGGAAGAGAAGCACGUGCUUCUUUGGGACGUCUACAUACCAAUGGUGCUACGAGCUUUGCUAAUUCAAGAGACGAAUUUGAGAUUGAGCAUGGAAGAGAGCCUAGUGCUUAUGAGUUUUUUGAUAAAACUCACCAACCAAAGAAUGGAUGCUAUCCUAACAACACAAAUACUGAAGAAUUCAUUGACAUGGCAAAAUCUAAGAUUGAUUCAAGUGCUGCAAAUUCAUCAACUUUGAAGCCUCAAGUAGAGAUAGAGAAUGAAGUCUUCAAUGAUUUGAUGUAAGAUAAGGAUAAAAAAAACCAAAGACCAUUGGGUUAUGGGUUUGGGGUGAAUCAUAAUGAUGUGUUUGGAGUUCAUGCAUUAUUGCGAAAAAAAAAGGGGCACUUCUUAUAACAGUAGCGAUGACCAGAAUAUGAAAGCUGAUUUCGCAAGGUAUAAGAGGCAUACUGCAAACCUCUUAAUGAGACUGACAACACAAAUGACUAACGUGUUGGAUGCAGUGCGAAGCGGUAAUGUCUCUAAUGAAAUGUUAGAUGCUACUUCCACAACAUUACGCUCCAUACAUGCUCAGAAUAUGGAAGAAUCAAAUGGAGGUGAUGAUGAAGAUGAAGACGAGGAUGAAGAUCACUUGGAUCUUUCUACUUGAUUGGGCAUGGAAAAAUAGCACAUAUAUUUUUCUCACUGAAUAUGGGAAACAAUGAAACGUACAUUAUAGAAUAGGAAUCUGAUUUACUUUUUGGUUGACCAUUGUUACAAAUGGAGACAGUGAACUUAAUUUCUUGUUUAGACUUUUUUGAUCGUCGAAAAUUAUGAUUAUGUUAUUUUGAUGAUGAACGACUUUUAAGUUUAUGUAUGGAUUGUCGGAGAUUGGGUUUUGUUAUUUAUAGAAAUAUGUAGUACUACUUUUCUUAUUGUUUAACUUUUACUUAUUUAUUA